AUUGAACGCUGGCGGCAGGCCUAACACAUGCAAGUCGAGCGGUUGACGGGAGCUUGCUCCCUGAUUCAGCGGCGGACGGGUGAGUAAUGCCUAGGAAUCUGCCUAUUAGUGGGGGACAACGUUUCGAAAGGAACGCUAAUACCACAUACGUCCUACGGGAGAAAGCAGGGGACCUUCGGGCCUUGCGCUAAUAGAUGAGCCUAGGUCGGAUUAGCUUGUUGGUGAGGUAAUGGCUCACCAAGGCGACGAUCCGUAACUGGUCUGAGAGGAUGAUCAGUGACACUGGAACGGAGACACGGUCCAGACUCCUACGGGAGGCAGCAGUGGGGAAUAUUGGACAAUGGGCGAAAGCCUGAUCCAGCCAUGCCGCGUGUGUGAAGAAGGUCUUCGGAUUGUAAAGCACUUUAAGUUGGGAGGAAGGGUUGUAAAUUAAUACUCUGCAAUUUUGACGUUACCGACAGAAUAAGCACCGGCUAACUCUGUGCCAGCCGCCGCCGUAACAC
rnacentral:rRNA from 1 species